CACCGCGGUUAUACGAGAGGCCCAAGUUGACAGAAAACGGCGUAAAGCGUGGUUAAGGACAAUUCAAACUAAAGCCGAACACCUUCAGGACUGUUAUACGUUUCCGAAGGAACUGAAGCCCAACUACGAAAGUGGCUUUAUAAAACCUGAACCCACGAAAGCUAAGAAA
rnacentral:rRNA from 1 species